GUUCUUUCUUCUCUUUGAUUUCAAACCUAAUCCCUAGUUUCCUCUUUCUUCUUCGGGCCGCUUUCCUCUGUCAGAUAAUUCAUACUUAAAUUCGUCGACAGAGUUUUAUCAGCUGGACCGGUCGAUUUCAUGCUCAUUAUUAGCUCAAUGGUCUUUGGGAAUCGUCAAAUUGUGAAAGUGUUCGUUGUUCAAAACGACGAAACAAGUAAGGCUGGCAGUUGAUAUUCACAUAGUACUUUACAUUGUACUCGUAAGUAAAGGGUUGUUGAUGCGAAAUUUAUGUUGUGUGCCGACCUUGUUAGAAGCUUGUGUUGUGCUUUCAUGUGAGGCAAAUUGUGCCCUGUCUAUUAUUCUAUGCUACACACCAUCCGGUGAACUUCAGUGUGUAAUUUUCCUACCUCUGAUUUACAUACAAUCACACUUAUACGCGUGAAUGUGUGUAUGGAUGUCUACACUUAUAUGGUAGGAUAUAACUCGGUGGAAUUCACCGGAUGUUUGUGUUCCUCUCAUAAUGAAAGAAUGGUCUAUAUAUUUCUAUAUUCAGUUA